AGGCCACUUACCUUGAGUUCCUGCUUCCGGUCAUCCCUUGGGCUGAGGUCUGAAGCAAUGAUGAAGGUCUUAGGCAUGCUAGGAGGGCUCUUCAUGCUUUUCCAGUUGAAGCAUGUUCAUGCCAACUUGGCAGCCAGGUGUACCCCAAUAUGGCUCAUGGUUAGACUGGAUCGAUGGCCUCUGGUGGAUGACCUGCAAAUCCAGCCACACGAGCUUAUUCUGGGAGAUGGCUGCCCAGUCUCCAUCAUGCUGUCUGAGUUCUUUGACUUCAAGUAUCCUUUAUCUUCAUGUGGCAUCAGGGUCUAUGAACAACCAUCAGGUAUUUUCAUUGAAACUGCAAUCAUAUAUAAUUCCGGGUAUUUAUAUCUUCCUCCGGUCUACCUCCCCGUAACAUGCUUUGUUCCAAGGGGCAGUUGUCCCUUGCUGGGCCAUAGAAAUUUUACUACUUCCUACUACGUGGAGGCAUUUAAACUCUAAUUCUGGGGCCAUGAAGUGGUCUUAGCAACCCUGGCUGCGUCAAGUUUUCACUGCUCCUCAGAUGUUGGACAAAUGUCUACAGGGAUCACCUCUGAGCACUUUUAGAAUGACCUUUUAAAAUGAAAACUUGGUCUUCCAUCUGUAUUUAUGAAGUCUUUGUGGGGAGGACUCCUCCAGAUUUUAAAUUUGUGAUAAAGGCAAUUUUAUGGAAAUAAACGUUUGCCAUUCUCAGCGGGUAUUUGUACUGUUUGAAGACACCUCAGUCCCUCGUCACAGGGCCUCAUAUUGCAGGGGUGACUGGGCUUGGUCCUCCACAUGGCUCAGGGUGGCAGCCGGGAAGCUGGCGUACUGUGAUCGCAUUUUUCAGUUGAC
rnacentral:lncRNA from 1 species